GCAUCUCUCCUCUGAGCUUGUCUUCCACAACAUCAACAAGGGCAAGUUCAUCAGCUAAGUCCUACAAGAGACCAAGAUUAAAUAUUAAGAAAAGCAAGCCUGAUGUUAAACACAGCAUUUUCAAUAUAAUAAUGCAAUGCAGAGGACAAGUCAUUCAGAGUGUCUAGGACCACUUUUUCCAGUCUACACUGCAAAGAAUUAUUCUACCACACUCUCUUUUGCUUCAGACAAAGUGAUGCCUCAGUUCUGAGAAGGGAUUCUGGAAGUCAUUCAAAGGUAAAUGCAGCUCUCAACUCAAAAUGAUACACAGAGCAUGUUCUAUCUGAUACUGGGAUAAACUUGGGUUUACAAGAACUACA